CUACGGGGUGCUGCAGUAGGGAAUAUUGCUUAAUGGGCGAAAGCCUGAAGCAGCAACGCCGCGUGUACGAUGAAGGCCUUCGGGUUGUAAAGUACUUUUUGCAGGGAUGAGGAAGGACAGUACCUGCAGAAUAAGCCUCGGCUAACUACGUGCCAGCAGCCGCGGUAAAACGUAGGAGGCGAGCGUUAUCCGGAUUUACUGGGCGUAAAGCGCGUGUAGGCGGAUUGGUAAGUUAGCUGUGAAAGCUCCCGGCUUAACUGGGAGAGGUCGGUUAAUACUGUCAGUCUAGAGUAUGUGAGGGGAAGUGGAAUUCCGGGUGUAGUGGUGAAAUGCGUAGAUAUCCGGAGGAACACCAGAGGCGAAAGCGGCUUCCUGGCACAUAACUGACGCUCAGACGCGAAAGCUAGGGGAGCGAACGGGAUUAGAUACCCUAGUAGUC
rnacentral:rRNA from 1 species